UCCGUAGGUGAACCUGCGGAAGGAUCAUUACUGAAAUGUAAUAACUUCUAUUGAAAGGUUCCAGAGUAGGCGCUACAACGCCGAAAUGACCUUCUCACCCUUGUGUACUCACUAUGUUGCUUUGGCGGGUCGACCUGGUUCCGACCCAGGCGGCCGGCGCCCCCAGCCUUAACUGGCCAGGACGCCCGGCUAAGUGCCCGCCAGUAUACAAAACUCAAGAAUUCAUUUUGUGAAGUCCUGAUAUAUCAUUUAAUUGAUUAAAACUUUCAACAACGGAUCUCUUGGUUCUGGCAUCGAUGAAGAACGCAGCGAAAUGCGAUAAGUAAUGUGAAUUGCAGAAUUCAGUGAAUCAUCGAAUCUUUGAACGCACAUUGCGCCCUCUGGUAUUCCGGAGGGCAUGCCUGUUCGAGCGUCAUUUCAACCCUCAAGCUCUGCUUGGUAUUGGGCAACGUCCGCUGCCGGACGGGCCUUGAAGACCUCGGCGACGGCGUCCUAGCCUCGAGCGUAGUAGUAAAAUAUCUCGCUUUGGAGUGCUGGGCGACGGCCGCCGGACAAUCGACCUUCGGUCUAUUUUUCCAAGGUUGACCUCGGAUCAGGUAGGGAUACCCGCUGAACUUAAGCAUAUCAAUAAGCGGGAGG
rnacentral:rRNA from 1 species